rnacentral:misc_RNA from 1 species
CUCAAGUGUUGCAGAAGCAGCUGCUCUGGAAUCACCUAACUCUUCUCCAUCAAUCUUCUCUCCGUUCACUGAACCCUUCCGGUGACCAGAUUCUUGAUUUCUGGUUCUCAACUGCGACCAGAGGCAUUUGAGNGACUGGAUGGACCAGUAUGAGAAAGUUGAAAAGAUAGGUGAAGGAACAUAUGGAGUGGUAUACAAGGCUCGUGAUCGUGUAACCAAUGAGACUAUAGCUCUGAAGAAAAUACGUCUGGAGCAGGAAGAUGAAGGGGGUCCAAGCACCGCAAUAUUAGAGAAAUUUCUCUCUUGAAAGAGAUGCAGCAUGGGAACAUUGUGAGGUUACAUGAUGUGGUGCACAGUGAGAAGCGAUUGUAUUUGGUUUUUGAGUAUCUGGACUUGGAUUUGAAGAAGCACAUGGAUUCUUGCCCUUCCUGAAUUUGCUAAGAAUCCUCGUCUGAUAAAACAAUUCCUUUACCAAAUUCUUCGUGGCAUUGCCUACUGCCAUUCUCAUAGAAUUCUUCAUCGAGAUUUGAAACCACAAAAUCUACUUAUAGAUCGCCGUACCAAUGUGCUAAAGCUUGCAGAUUUUGGAUUGGCCAGAGCAUUUGGUAUUCCUGUUAGGACAUUUACACAUGAGGUGGUAACCCUGUGGUAUAGAGCACCAGAAAUUCUGCUUGGAUCUCGACAUUACUCAACUCCAGUUGAUGUGUGGUCAGUGGGAUGUAUAUUUUCUGAAAUGGUUAACCAGCGGCCAUUGUUCCCUGGGGACUCUGA